rnacentral:rRNA from 1 species
AUGGACGAGGUCACACAAGCCGUUGAAAACCUGAAAAAGGAAUGGAGCCAAGCAGUUGAACAGCUUGAGGUGUGCAUUGCUGCAAUUGAAUCCUGUGGGAAGAUGGGGAAAGGGACAGAAGAAGCAAUGUCUCUUCCUCGGUUGAACGGUUCUGCACAGGAUGCACUGCAAUUGCUCAAUGCACUGCAGUGCAGGCUUGAUCUUCUGGCAGAGCAGCUACCCACUUUUGAAGAAGUUCAGUCUGGACAGGCAACCUUAGGAUCAUGGAAGGAACAGUAUCAGAGGCUGCGUGUGAACCUGAGGAGUGCUAACUUGCAAGCAAAAGCGAACAUUGGAAAAGCUGCUCAAGAAGAGAGGGGGCUUCUUCUGGGAGGUGGAGAAGAGUCCACUGUCCGGAGGCGUAAUCUCCAGACAAAGGCUGGGAUGACAUCUGCUGCAGAAAGUAUUACUGAGAGCCUCCGUAGGUCUCGGCAGUUGAUGGUUCAGGAAGUGGAAAGAAGUGCUAAUACCUUGUCAACUUUUGAUGAAUCGACAAGUGUUCUGCGAAAGGCUGAAGGCGAGUAUCAGGGGCACCGCUCUUUGCUGAUGCGCACCCGUGGUUUGCUCUCCACGAUGCAACGACAAGAUGUUCUCGAUAGGAUCAUCCUGACCAUUGGGUUCCUCGUGUUCUCCUUGGCGGUUCUGUAUGUUGUCUCGAGACGUAUUGGCCUGUUGACACUGCAAAGGAAGCUGGCUGAUGCUAUCAGAUCAGGCUCAGUAUCAGCUGGAGACAUCUUGGCUAAAGUACAGGAGGGACCUGCCCCAACAGAUGCUCCCCCAAUCUAUGAUGAACUGUGA